rnacentral:tRNA from 1 species
GGGGCUAUGGCUCAGUGGUGGAGUAUCUGCUUGGAAUGAAGAAGGUCCCAGCUUCAAUCUGUGGUAUCUCCA